UACGGAGGAUCCAAGCGUUAUCCGGAUUUAUUGGGUUUAAAGGGUGCGUAGGCGGGUUGGUAAGUCCGUGGUGAAAUCUCCGAGCUUAACUCGGAAACUGCCGUGGAUACUAUCAAUCUUGAAUAUCGUGGAGGUAAGCGGAAUAUGUCAUGUAGCGGUGAAAUGCUUAGAGAUGACAUAGAACACCAAUUGCGUAGGCAGCUUACUACACGAUCAUUGACGCUGAGGCACGAAAGCGUGGGGAGCAAACAGG
rnacentral:rRNA from 1 species